AUUAAGACCGUGGGACCAUACGGUCUAACAAAUGUCUUAUAGAAGCAAUAAUAAGUGUCAUAAUCCGUACUUCCCCAGCAUAACUGUAAGACGUUACCGCAUCCGUUUUAACUUUUAUAUGGUUUUAUAAGGGAAGCUGAGCAAGCCUGUCGCCAUUAUCACGAAGACCAGUAAUGACAGUAUAUUGACAGGAAAAAAACAGAUAAAUAAUAAAAUGCCUUUGGUUAGGAAAAGAGGCAGACAUUAUGCCCAUGUUACAUAUGAAAGAGGUACAGAUGCCCUUAAAGUUUUUGAUGAAGUAAAGAGCAAGAUACUGUCCCAUCUGGCAGCAAUACUGUAUGACACUGUAUGACCAAUUCACAGACAAUUUGACAAAGAAUAACAAUAGAACACCAACAAUUCACAUAUGAGAC